ACUCUGCAACUUUAAGAGGUGAGAUUUAUGUAGUCUUGUUAUAAAUGGUGCACCCUGGAGCUAUACAAGAUACAGCACCCACAGUCAUCCAUUUGCAUACAUGUAACAGUAUCAUCUGAUGUUGUAGUCAGUUGUUCCAAAUCAAGAGGCUUUAGGCUAUAUCCAUCCCAUACAUGUUUUGCUUAGGCCACAAAAUGUCAAAGAAACAAAAAUCAUUUACCAAUAUGUUAAAUGAGGAGAUUUUUAUUAGUGAUCCCAAUUUCCACCCUUACUGGUUACAACCAGUUCUGCAACACAUCACCCUUCCAGUGCCUCAAUCACUACCUGAGCCGAGGAUCUGCCAUUCUCCUCAUUGUGCCCUGUGAUCUCACUACCCACCUAUUUGACUAACUUACGUUAUUUUCCUGUUUCCUGUAGGUGUUUCAAUCUGUUACCCCUUCAUGGUAUGCCCUAAAAGCAUGUCCUCACCAUUCCCUCCUUGGAACAAGUUAUUCUCAAGACUCGGUGGUGACAUUUGCCGUCUUUCUCUAGGCGGUCUUCUCUGUCCCGCAGAAUUGUCGCUGGCCUCCACACAACCCUAAUGGAAGUCACUGGCUCAGAUCCAUUGCUGAUCAAACGUAAAAGCACAGCCUCAGCCUCCUCCAAGAAGCCUGUUGGACUCCCAUCCACAUCAGCUGCUACGUCUCAGCAUUGACACUGGCUUUCCAGUGAAGUAGUUGUCUUCAUCCAUACCUUAUAUGAAGAGGAAACACACUCAGAAAGAACGGGAAGAAUGGAGAGACAUGAUGAUUAUCUAAAGUAAGCAGUGGUGCUGGGACCAAACCGAGGACUGUUCAUUCUAGAGAACAGCCUUCCCAGGACCAGGAUUUGCCCAGAUUCUGCAUUUGCUAUAGAGUUCGGAGACUUUCGGCCACAUUGGACAUUGAACUUGGGUCAUAGUCCCUGGUCGCCUUGGCUGAAGUCCACCUUUUCCCAUUGGCUCACUUUGGCUGCCUAUUACUGCCAUUUCUGGUGGAGACUCUCCAUUCCCUAGCCAUUGCUUCUGGAUGCCUCUCCUGCCACAGGCUUUUUUCAAAUCAGCACCUAUUUGCUCAAAUCUGUAAAAUUUCUCAUGCGCUUUAAACUUCUUAAAGAAAUGACUGCCUUUCCUUCGGAUUGCGGGUAUCAGCUAACAACAACAACAACAACAAUAACAAAACAACAGCCGUCAUUAUUCUGUGUGUAUAUGUGCCAGGAAUAUGCUAUAAACCUUAUUUUUCAUUUAGUGCUUUCUAUAAACCUUUGAGUUAGAAAUUACUAACACUGUAAUUUAAUAAAGAUCACACAAAAGGACAUUGGCACAACUGUGAACUCAGUCUCUCUGAUACAAAAUAAUCUGACUUUAAGGACUAUUUUAAACUCUACCGAAAGAUACAACUCGUUCAGAACCUGUGCUUUCUCCUGAUAUUUCUUCUUUUUUUUUAUGAUUGUUAUCUCUUCCAUCAAAUGUUUACAAGGGUACAAGACUAUUUACUGGGGACAUGCAAAAAAAAUACAUGGUACAAUCAUAAUUGCAAAGCUUAAUAGGUUGUGGCAGAGAGAGAGCACAAACAUUAUGUUGUUUUUAUAUUAAAUAAAAUAAUGAAAGCUGUACACGUUGACCUCACAUUUCUACUUUCAUAAUCUACCCUUAAAAAAACAAUAAUGAGAACUGAACCAGAAUUUUAUGUGCAAAGAUCUUUAUCAAAAUAUUUUUUAUAAUAAGAAAAACCGAGGGCAAUCUAAAUGUACUAGAAUGGAAGAAAGGUUAAAAUUUAAAAUUCCUAAAAUUUAUAAAAAUAUGAGUCCCGUUAAGUGUUCAUUUAAAAAAUAAUCCAGAGUCAAUGUAUUUGGAAAUUACACUGGCAGUAGCCUCAUUUUGAAGACUCAAAAUCCAAAUAGACACUCUUCUACAACUUACAGAAUUCAGAAGGAAAGAAAAAUAAUCAAUUUAGCUUAAUUUACUUUAAUAAAUCUUUUAUUAACAU